rnacentral:lncRNA from 1 species
AGCCCACGUCUGCCGGCAGCACCCAGGCAAGUGGUGACAAUACCCCUCAAGCUUCAGGCCAAUGUCUGCUGCCACACGUCUGGGUGACCUCGGCCAACAAAGGCCCCUGCCCUACUCCAUCCUGCCCCGGCACAGCUGUGUUCUCCGUAGCUCCUUCUGCCAGACUCCUGCAAGGUUUGCCCACUGCUGAGCGAGACCCUCACACAUCCCCCGCACAGCCACACUGCUCAACUGUGAAGGGCCCAGUGGCUGAUGGUGGCUCCCAUGCUGCAUGUACAGGUGACCUGUCUGUCUCUGAAAAGAGGCCUGGGACAUGAUCCCACUUCUGGCCACCCAAGAGAGGCAUCACACACCGCAUGGGGAUCUGUGUAGGUGCAUGCACGAGUGUGGUGUGGGGCUUCCACAUCGGAGGUGCCUGUUACGCAGCAGCAGCAGCAACGGACAGAGACAUGGCGGCUGUGCGAAGACCUCAAAAAGGAAGCGAAUGGUCUGCUGCUCUCAUACUGCACAGUGCAUCCUUGUCCCGGUGACCCACACACUGGAGCAACACAGGGGACCCAAACAAGAAAGCCAUACAAUAUCCAUGACAGGUCACACCCAGGGUGGGAGAACACAGAGGGGAACGCAUGUGUUCGUUGGUGGAUGCCUUAAACACAGAAGGCCUUCUCUGAGGGAUGUGAUGUUCUGGAACUAUGUAGAUUACCUGGCUGUAUAAUCUGAAGAUCACACAGGUGUGUAUAUCUUAAACAAGUGAUCCCUACAGUCUACCAAUUAUAGCUCGAGAUCCCAAAAUCAAAA